rnacentral:lncRNA from 1 species
UGAAGUAUUACAGUGUAAGUUUCUCUUCCGUACAUGAGUGUUAAAACUGUCGGUCAAUAUAUCGAUCUACUUUGAAAUUUUCUGGGUUUGCGUUGGGUUGGGUUGGUCUGGUAGUGGGUAGUAAAAUGAUCUGUUUGUUGGGGUCCAUCUUUUUUUCAGGGAUGUUUGUUAGGAUCCAUAGUCGAAGGGUAAAGAGAUGAGAUUCAUUGUCUGAUCCCCACGUCCGCAAUUCUAGCCCAUGGGUGCCGCUGCAUUGGCCUGCCCUGAGUCACCGGUAGCCAGUCAUACAUGCUGCUUCAGUGACUCGUACAUACCCCCUCGGCCUACUCACCGGCGUCGAGCGGCCAAAGCCCUCACUGCUAGCUCAAAUAGCCAUGGUGCCCAUGUACGAUGAUUGGAUCGAUUGGCCUAACCCAAUCCAUGCAUAUAGGAGGAGCGUAUCAUUGGCAUCAAUAUAUUUGGCUUAAAAGUUUGUAGAUGGACAAGCUCACACCAAAGAUGUCAUCUCUAUCGCUUAAUAAUAUAACAAGAUAGUGUGCAUUUAUCAACGCAAAUUAACCACUAGAUUGGAUUUCUGGAUUAUCACUCAAGGAUUAUUGCUUGAAAGUUCAUACAUGGAUGCCAUCUUUGUCGCGUACCAACUUAUAAAGAAAAUGUGCAUGUAUCAAGGGCAAACCGCUAGAUUAAAUUUCAGGAUUAUCACUCUCGGAUGAGCUUGGACACCUUGAGGUUAGAAUCAGGGACUCUUAUACUUCUUGAUCAUGCACAUCUUUAAUACAAAGUGAUGUUGUUUUACCAACUACAUGUUCAUGUUUCAGAUUAUCAAGAAUGGUGAGCUCCAAGAACUCAUGGUAAAUGGAGGGGCUCUGAUGUUGCAAUAAAAAGAAAUGGCAGAUGUUUUUCCAGGAAGUCAUCUCAACAAGACCAAAUGGUAUAAUCCUUAUAUUCUAGAUUUUCUGUCCAUGAUAAUGCAGUGUAGCAAUAAUAACAUACAAAUGUCAUUGCCAUCCAGCAUGUCAAUGCUCUCUUGAGUGGGCUUCAUUAGAUGGAGCAAUGGCUUCGUUGAGAACCAGGGAGUGUCAAGGUAUGUACUUAAUCGAGCUGUAGUUCUUGCAUUUAAUAACAGAUAGGCAGAGUCAAAGAAUGGCCAGAGAGCAUCAUGAAGUAAUGAUGGAAUUAUAUCCUGUUCUAGCUUCUGAAUUCUAAACCCAACAAUAUCCAAACCUUCUUAGAGCGUUAGUCACACUUGUGGCAGCAGAAGAGAUCUUGAUAAGAUGCUGCUGCUGCUUAGUGUUGCUUGCUGCAUAAAUUCGAUCUGGUGCAGUUUCUGCUUUGCAUGCUUGUCUAAGUGUUACCUUAAUGUCAAGAGAAUAAUCUUGUACAAUGCAUAUUUUAUCUGAUUUUUGCGUAUCCAACCCAUGUGCUUUAUAUUAACCGAACUGAUUUAAAUGUCAUACUCUUGUUUUGUAUGUCAGUGGCAUGUGCAUGUAAAAUCCUUUGCAGAUAGUACAAGAACAACCAAGCCUUCUUACAGAGUGUUAGAUUGCUUGAUGCUGCUACUUCGUAUGCUUGCUUAAGUGUCACCCCAAUGUCAAGAGAAUAAUCUUGUACGAUGAAUAUUUUACAUUUUUUUUGUUCUUGGUACUGUUGUUUUUUUGCUGAUCCACUACACUUGCUUUACAUUAACCAAAAUGAUUUGAGCAAGCAUACUAUUGUUUUAUUGCCGUGGGGUGUACAAGUAAAAUCCAUUGCAGAUACAAGAAUGACUUUUGUGGAGAAACAAAAUUCCCAGCCAUAUUAGCUUUGGGAAUAGUCAUCCUGCAACAUCUUCUUUAAUUCCUCUUGUGGCCAUGAAUCCGUUGGUUAUAAAGUUUGCAAUAACAAAACAACAUCGUGUUUCUUGUAUACUGGAACAUUUUUUUCCAUUUAAGGUAGCUGUUUAUUCAAUGAGAUUUUCUAACUUUGUCCUACUCUAUUAUUUGGUUUCUUGGGGCUUAUCUCUAGAUUAUGGUGAAGCAAGGGGGAGUUGCUUAUAUCCGAGUUGUUGCCACAAGCGACUUUCAUCCUCUAUUGUAGCUUUAGCGAAUAUAGUUGAUGCAUGAUUGCAGAUGCCAAUGAUAGGUGUAUAUGUGAGAAGAGUAUGUGCGUACAUUGGUGUAUGUCUACCAAUAAUGAUUACUAAAAUUCCAAAUUGCACAUAUUGACAGUGGAACCUCCCAGUUUCCAUUUCUCUUCAAGGCUACAUUUGCAUGUAAUUUUUUUUGACAACCAAAUUGCUACAUAGACUACUUUGUUUUAGUAGUGCAGUAUUUUAUGUUCUUCCAUCAGAGGUACUUCAUUCAUUUUUUUACACCUUUGGAUAUAUGACUUCAUCUUUCUUUUAUAUAUAAAAUAGACGCCAGAUGUGUGCAUAACUACUUCCAUGAUGAGCCGAUAUUUGUCGAGCAGGUCAUGCCACGUCUUCCCACCGAGAUCCAGUGGAGACAGCUGGGCCUGUAGCUCAGAGGAUUAGAGCACGUGGCUAUGAACCACCCACGGUGUUAGGGGUUCGAAUCCCUCCUCUUGUCGGUCACCAUCGAGCUCCAAAAUAUGUGAUGAUGUAAAUUGUUUUAUGUGAGAUGUUUAAUGUGUACCGGUGAUGCAGCAUUUUGGACUGCUCUGAAAUAUAAACGGGUAGCUAAUUUUAGGUUGCUUCAAAAUAUGGGCCAUGUAAAUGGAAAGUUCUAUGUCUGAGUCGGAUGUAAGGCUGCUUGUAAUGGGUAGUAUCAUAAGUUAGUAUCAUGCAUAUGAUACUAGUAUAUGAUAUUACCUCCCUAAUGCAUAGUAUCAUAGAUACUUUAUUUAUUGUCAUGCAUGACACAGUAGUAUUGCAUUUUUGCAUUUAUUAUUAUACGAUAUCAUAAUAUGAUAUUCAACCCUCUCUUUCUUCAUUUAAUUCUAUGUCAUCUCAUCUAAAUUGCCUAGUUGGC